rnacentral:rRNA from 1 species
ACGGCUCAGUAACACGUGGCUAACCUACCCUCAGGACGGGGACAAACCCGGGAAACUGGGGCUAAUAUCCGAUAGGCGAGGAAUCCUGGAAUGGUUCUUCACCCAAAGGGCAUUGGAAACAUGCUUUCUCUGUCGCCUGGGGAUGGGGCCGCGACCGAUCAGGUUGUUGGUGAGGUAAUGGCUCACCAAGCCUUUAACCGGUACGGGCCAUGAGAGUGGUAGCCCGGAGAUGGGUACUGAGACAAGGACCCAGGCCCUACGGGGCGCAGCAGUCGCGAAAACUCCGCAAUGCACGAAAGUGUGGCGGGGCUACCCCGAGUGCCGUCCGCUGAGGAUGGCUUUUCCUUGGUGUAACUAGCCGGGGGAAUAAGGAGAGGGCAAGACUGGUGUCAGCCGCCGCGGUAA